rnacentral:rRNA from 1 species
GGCUCCUUGUCACACACACAUAAGGAGUUGGACCUGCCCGGUGAAAGAUUUUAACGGCCGCGGUACUCUGACCGUGCAAAGGUAGCAUAAUCACUUGCCUUAUAAUUGAAGGCUAGUAUGAAUGGUUUGACGAAAGCACUUCUGUCUCUCCCCUAUUUUACAAAAAUUAACAUUCAGGUGAAGAGGCCUGUUUAAAAUUAAAGGACGAGAAGACCCUGUCGAGCUUUAAGGAAACUAGGAAAAUUUUAUAUUUAUAAAUAUAAGACCUCUUUUACUUUUUGGUUGGGGCGACUAGGGAACAACAAAAGCUUCCCUUAUUUUAAAGACUUUUUCGUUAGGAUCCAGCAUUGUGCUGAUUGAAAGAAUUAGUUACCGCAGGGAUAACAGCAUAAUCCUUCUUGAGAGACCUAAUCGAAAGAAGGGGUUGUGACCUCGAUGUUGGACUAGGAUAUCCUAAGGGUGCAGAAGCCUUUGAGGGUUGGUCUGUUCGACCAUUAAAAUCCUACG